AGCGAACGUUAGCGGCGCGCCUAACACAUGCAAGUCGCACGAGAAAGGGAGCAAUCCCCGGUACAGUGGCGCACGGGUGAGUAACACGUAGAUGACCUUCCCUGGAGUGGUGGAUAACCUGCCGAAAGGCGGGCUAAUACAGCAUGGGACCACAUGGUUUUGACCGAGUGGUGAAAGCGGGCCUCUGUUCACAAGCUCGCGCUCUGGGAUGGGUCUGCGUCCCAUCAGCUAGUUGGUGAGGUAAUGGCUCACCAAGGCAUCGACGGGUAGCUGGUCUGAGAGGAUGACCAGCCACACUGGAACUGAGACACGGUCCAGACUCCUACGGGAGCAGCAGUGGGGAAUCUUGCGCAAUGGGCGAAAGCCUGACGCAGCGACGCCGCGUGGGUGAUGAAGGCCUCGG
rnacentral:rRNA from 1 species